CUGGAACUUGUUUCAAACCAAUAGAACAUGACACAGAUGAUGGGCUGUCACUGCUUUGACUACAUUACAUUAUUAUAAGGCUCUAUCUUACUAUUAGUUUUACUUUUGAAGCAAACUGCCAUCAUGUAAACUGCCUAAGGAAAGGGCCACAUGGCAGGGAACUGCAAGCAGCCUGGAGAAGCUGAGCAUCACUUCCAGCAGACAGCUAGCAAAGAGGCACACAGUUCUACAACUACAAGGAAAUGAAUUCUGCUAACUACCUAAGUUGGAUGGGAAACUCCAGCUGGAAGUGAUGGAGCAAAAGGAGAAGCUCACUGAAGUUUUAGGUUCACAGCAAAAUGGUGGAAAGUACAGAGAUGCCAAGGUCAAAUGAUGUCAUCAGGACAUGGGCUGACUCCUGUCUCUCAGCUCUAGUUUUCUCUUUGUUGGUUUCAUGGUCAGCCAAGCUCUUCUCACUUGAUAGCAAGAAUGGCCCCUAGGGUAGCACUAGGCUACCUUAUGCCAGUCCUUUCCUCCUGUAAUACCCCUUUCAGAGUAAAGUCUUUGUUGAACAGAACCCUUGAUGGGCCAUUGUGAGUUGGAAGGACAGCCUGGGGCUUGGCCAACAGGGCUAGAAGUGGAGGGAUUAUAUAUUUUAUUAUCCAGACCAGGACACUUUGGAGGGUCAGAGGAUCCCUAUUAAUAAUUUCACCAGGAUGACAGGCAUAAGUUGGUUUGGUUCCCAUAAAUCUGAGUAUCUGAUCUCCUUUUGAAGAAAUGAAGCCGCUCUGCAUUUAAGAGAAAAGGCCUACCACGAGAUGGCUAACUUUAAAGUGACUGACUAUACAUCAAGUGUUGGCGAGGACACAGAUGAACUGAAACUCUCAGAAGAUUAUAUAACCACUUUGGAAAUGAGGGUUAGGAUGAGAUUUGAAAGGUGAAUAGGAAAUGAUGCCCUAAUGCCCAAUUCUUCAAUCCUUAUCAAGUAAUGCUCCAUUUACCUAAUGAGAUUCAGUCAGGCUGCUGACAGUGACCUUGAACAUUGGUGCAUUGGUCAAGCUGGAUGUUGUCCUGAAUACAGGUGUGAUAAAGCAACAUCUCCUAUUGGUGUUACCUCAAGAGAGAGUUAUCACCCUCUUCCAAAGAAGGCUCGCUCCUGGUGUUCCCAAACUGAUGAAUCUCCAUAUUGAAAUCAUCUAGAGUGAAUCCUUCAAAUUCAUUCUUUCAAUAUUGUUUUGGACACAUUGACUCCUUUGUUUUUCCAAGUAGAAUCAGCUUAUCAAUUUCUACCAAAAAAAAAAAAAGGAUGUUGAUUGAUAUUACCUUGAAUCUACAGAUCAAUUUGGGGUAAACUAGCAUCUUUACAAUAUUAAGAUUUGCAAUCCAUUAACAUGAUAUAGCUCCCAUUUUAUUUAAAUCUACUAUUGUUUAUUUCAUGAAUGCUUUGUAAUUUUGGCAUACGUAUCUUGCA
rnacentral:lncRNA from 1 species